ensembl:lncRNA
CACGUGUAACUGUGUUGCUAGCGGAGUCUACUCAGAUCAGCUUUGAACCUUUGUGAGUCCACAUUGAGCCACCUCUACCCACUGACCCCUGACGCUUCAAAAAGCCCAGCCUCUGUGUCCCCCUCCCUUCCUGGUGACUCACCUCCCUGCCAUCCUUGCCCCCUCCCCCACCAGCCUCCUGUCUUGAAGGGCAGUCCCCUCUGUUCAGUUUGCCUUCUUCCCCCCACAAAGGAGUCUCUGUCACUUCCUCCAGGUAGCCUUCUGUGAUCAGAGGAGCCCUAACAUUAGCUCAGCAGUUGUACCUCCACUUGACAAAUGAGGACGUGGGCUCAAAGUACCGCCGUGACCAGAGCAGGUCCCGUGGUAGGCACGUAUAUUUGAUCCCAGGACUUCUACAGCUCAGGACAGGGAAGCUGAGGCCCAGAGAGGAUGCAGAAAAUACAGACCAUAUCCACCCCCAACACUACCUGCAGAGCCUGGAAGCACAGGGGUCAUUCUCUUGGAGGGUGUGAGAGGGCAACUCCACUCUGGGUAAGAAAAUCAUGACAAGAAGGUGUGUCUGGGUGGAAUUACAGCAUGCAGAACUUCCCCAACCAGGGAUCGAACCUAUGCCCUCUGCAGUGGAAGCAUGGAAUCUUAACCACUGGAUUUCCAGGGAAGUCCUGCAUAACUUAUUUCUGUGCAGACCUCAGAAUAAAGCUUCUACUGACACUUCUACCAAGAUGUUAAAACUCUUAGCAUUUGCCUCUGCAUGUCUAUGAAGUGCAGUAAUUUCUAAUUACUGACUAAAAGAAACUGCCGCAGAAAUAAAUUGAAUGCUGGCUCUCAGUUAAAACCAUAACCAUCACCUGUAAUUCAGGGUUUCAAAUUUUUAGUCCAUCAAAAU